GGGCAGUGGCUCCAAGCCACCCCCAGCUCUCCCGCCUCCUUCUUCAUCAUCGCUGGAGAAUCUUUCUGGGCGUGGAGCAACGGCAAGGUGUACUCCCCCAUGCAUGGCGUCACGGUGAGCGGCAAAGAAACGAGGUACUCUGUUCUGCUGUUCGCGAUGCCCAAGAAUGAGCGCCCGAUUCAAGCCCCAGUCGAGUUGGUGGACGACAAACAUCCCCCCAUCUUCAAACCCUACUACUACGAUGAUUACCUGAGGUUCUGCUUCUCAGAGGAGGGCAUGAUGCAACAGUGCAAGCUAGUCGCUUACUGCGGGACGGACGCAACCAAGGAAGCUGAUGCAUGAUCGUGUCGUUCAUAUUACUGUUGUCUUUUCAGGACGUAUUGCAUCUUUUUUCUUUGGUAAUAAGAAUGGACUCUGAUGCAUUGCUGGAUCCAGAGAUUGCUAUACAUGAAGUCGUCGAUCUCAAAUGUAGGGUCGCUUGGUUGGUCUUCCCAUGGUUUUUAAGAGCUUGGUAUUUGGUAAUGGUUGCACAGUGUGCCUUUCCCUUCUCGCAGAAUGUGUAGUUCUUUUCUGCUUCGUUCAA